rnacentral:lncRNA from 1 species
GGGCCGUGAAGGCGGCCUUGGCAGAUGAUUUUGACACACCCAGGGUGGUUGAUGCCAUCCUGGGCCUUGCACACCACGGGAAUGGACAGCUCAGGGCGUCCCUGAAGGCUACCUUGCAUGGUGUGGUGGACGAGCUGGUGCGGUUCCGGCAGAAGGUCCGGCAGUUUGCGCUGGCCAUGCCCGAGGCCACGGGGGACGCCCGGCGGCAGCAGCUCCUA